GUGUUGUAUGGAAACCAAUUUUACAAUAAAUUUCAUAUUUAAAAAUUUUUUUUAAAUAAUAAAUAAGCAUCAAAAAAUUUUUUAAAAGUCCUUAGAAUUUUCUAUGCAUAGCAUCAUGUCAUCUGCAAAAUAGGGACAGUUUUACUUUUUUUUUCUGAUUUGGGUAUUUAAAAAAUUUUUUCUUACCUAAUUGCUCUAUCUAGGACUUCAAUACUAUAUUGAACAAAAGUGAGAGUGAGCAUCUCUAUCUUGUUCCUGAUCUUGGAAGAAAAAUUUUCACUUUUCACCAUUGAGUGUGAUGUUAGCUAUAGGUUUUAUAAUAUGGCCUUAAAUAUAUUUAGGUACACUCCCUCUUUACCUACUUUGUUGAGGAUUUUUAUCAUAACUGGAUGUUGAAUUUUGUCAGAUACUCUUUCUGCAUCUAUUAAGUUGAACAUAUGAUUUUUAUCCUUUAUUUGUUAAUGUGGUUAAUUUGCAGAUGUUGAAGUACCCUUACAUUUCUGGACUAAAUCCCACUUGAUCAUGGUACAUGAUCCUUUGAAUGUAAUGUUGAAUAUGGUUUGCUAAUAUUUAGCAAAUGGCCCAUGUUUUGUAUUUUUGAUAUCACAUAUUAAAUCUUUUUUUAAAUUUUAUGUAUCCUUAAACUAGUUAAUGUAGUUAAUUUUAUUAUUUUUGUCUUUUAACCUUCAUACUUGCUUUAUAAGUAAUUGGUCCACUGCUUUUACUGUAUAUUUACCUUUUCCAGGGAAACUUUUACUUCCUUAUGCUUUCUUAUUAUUAAUUAGUGUCAUUUCUUUUCAGUUUGGAGAAGUCCCUUUCAGAUUUCUUGUAUGGCCAGUUUAGUUGGGACACACUCCAUUAGCCUUUGCUUGUCUGGCAUACCCUUCAUCUUUCUUUUUUCUUUUUUUCUUUUGUUUUAAAUUCUGAACGAUAAUCUUGCUGGGUGCAGAAUUCUUGGAUGGAAGUCUUUUUCAGCACUUCAAAAAUGUCAUGUCACUCUCUUCUGGCCUACAAAGUUUCUACUGAAAAAUCUGCUGGUAGCCUUAUGGGGUUUCCCUUGUAUAUAAUAAGUUGUUUUUCUCUUGCUGCUUUUAAGAGUCUCUCUUCAACUUUUACCAUUGUAAUUAUGUGUCAUGAUAUGCAUCUAUUUAGGUUCAUCUUAUUUGAAAUUCUCUGGGGUUCCUGGACUUGUACAUCCAUUUUCUUCUUCAGACGAGGUGGUUCCUGUUUGCAUUCAUCCCAACAGUUUAUGGGAAUGCACAUCUCACUGAAGUCAUGAUGACAGAAGGAACCCCCCAGUGGUGUGGACUCAGUGUCAGCUCCUGAAGAGUGUCCACUCAGCCCUACCGACUUCAGACUUGCCUGUCCCUUAAUCAAGUAAGCCUACUCCUUGAUCUCUCCCCCUCUCUCUCAGUCUCUCCCUCUUUCCUUCCCUUCUUUCUUUCCACGCUUCUGCCCCACCCCCUCUCAUUAUCUUUCUCUCUCAUUUCUUUAUUUCUUUCUCUCUGGUGGGACCCUGACUGACACAGAGGCCUAUAAAUGUUUCUUCAGUGACAAAGAAUAUUUCCUCUUUAAAUCUUUUAAACUUCACUGAUGUAAUCUACUGCAUAAAAGGCCAGAUACUAUUCCAUCAUCUUACAUAUUGUGAAAACUGAUAGUACUAGCUUCAGGAUUUAAACAGGGGGAAAAAGAUAUUUUUUCCACUCACUAUGACACUAAGUUAACAUAUGCCAACACCGUCUGUCUGUACCAGCCAAGCAAGACGAAAAGUGUAAUAUGUCUUUCCAAGGUGAGAUGGUAAUUGUUCCUAAGUAAAUGAAAGAAAAAGUUUACUUUACACAGCCUCUAUUGAAAUGUAUUUAUUGUGGGGUGUCUGGGUGGCUCAGUUGGUUAAGUGGCCAACUUUGGCUCAGGUCAUGGUAUCACGGUUUGUGGGGUCGAGCCCCACAUCGGUCUCUGUGCUGACAGGUCAGAGCCUAGGUCCUGCUUCAGAUUCUAUGUCUCCCCCUCUCUCUGCCCCUCCACGGCUUGCACUCUGUCUCUCCCCCUCUCUCUCAAAAAGGAAAUAAACAUUAAAAAAAUUAAAAAAAAAAAAAAGAAGUGUAUUUAUUGUGCUACUAGGCACAAACUCUGUGUUAAUGGUGCUAGAUUGCCGAAUAAGAGAAUGGGGAUAUUCGCCUGGACAUAAAUCACCCUCCACUGAUGUCUUCUCUCACUGUGCUGGAAACUCAUAGAAAAGUGUUGUUUACAUCUUUUAUGAUAAGAGGAUAAAGCAUGUGCUUUACUGAUUCUCAGGAAGAUUCCCAAAAAUGACUUUCACUAUUUUCUCGGGAAUACAAUUUUAUGUGAGAAACAAUCCUGAGAAUUGAGAUAGCAUUUGCUUCUCUUUUUAGAUUAAACACCAGACUCCUGUGGAUGUGCUAUGUUUUCUCUUCCAGUGUCGAUUCACAUUAACACAUCUCCAUUCUGAAACUCAUUGGUAUGGCUUCUUGUAACUAAAAAACUCUUCUGGCAAUGCUGAAAACUCAAAUGACUGCUCUAUAAAUGUAGGCACAUUAUCAGAAAUUGUUAGCACUAGCGCUACACAAAUGGGUAUACAGAGCAUUAAACUUAUUCUUGCUCUCUUUUCCUGUAGCUGUAAUGACAUUCUGAAAUACUGCUUAAGGGAGGAUUAUCGGAGGAUAAAAUCAAUAUCUCUGCACUUUUACCAAUCUUCAUAAGAAAUCAACUAAUGAAUAGCAAAAGAGUGAUUGGCUUUAUUCUGCAUUUUUCUCCAAGCUUGACAAUAAACUAUUCUUGCUUCAGAAAAAAGACAUUAACAUCAGCCCAGUUGCUAAGUACCGAAUGACACAUUUCUUUAACUACAUUCAUGUAGUUUAUCAUUUGUUUUGGUAGUGAAUCUGCUUUACCUUAUGCUUAGGUUUGUGUGUGUGUGUGUGUGUGUGUGUGUGUGUGUGUG